GAGAGGGCGAGGGAGAGGAGGAUGCUGUGCUUGGAAAGCGGCUCUUGAGGAGAGCUGGAAUCUCGGCAAAGCGUCCACUCCCUCCCCUCCCUUUUCCUCUCACCUCUAGUGUUCCCACCAGCCCCGGGGAGGAGACAAAGGACGUGGGAGGGCAGCAGCAUGCAGAGGCCUGCCUUUGACGCCCAGGAGUUGAACACCAGACAGAAAAUGAAAUCUAAACAUUUACCCAGAGCCCUGGGCUAGAAAUGUGCCAACCUGACCCUGGAAAACAAAUAACCCGCGUCACCGCCACACCUGCUGCAGGCCCCAGAUGCCACAGGUACAGGACAGUGGUGAGCUCUGGAGCCAAGACACCCACCAGUCAGAAGAGCCAGUCCACUCUACAGAGAUGAAGGAUCCCCUGAAUCUUUGGGUCUUCCACGUUGUAUGGGGGAAUGAUUCCUUUCUUCUCCUUUGACAUGAAAGCAGUAGGUUAAGUCCUUAGAGCAGAGAGAGAAAGAGACCAUAAAAUAUUAUUCCUGGAAAGAAACUCAGAGAUAAUUAAUUGGAACUGCAUUUGCCACAUUCUAAAUAACAGGAUUCCUUCCAUUGCUAAAACACUCCGUAUGGUAGGAGCUGUACCUUUAUUUGCUCUAGACUAGAGCUGUCUAGUAGAAAUACAUUGUGAGCCAUACAUGUAACUUUAAAUUUUCUAGUAGCCACAUUAAAAAAAAAAAGUAAAAGGAAACAGGUGGUUCUCCAUACAAGAUAUACAAAUAGUCACUAUGCACAUGAAAAGAUGCUCGAUCCAUCACUAAUCAUUAAGAAAAUGCAAAUAAAUACCGUAAUG
rnacentral:lncRNA from 1 species